rnacentral:rRNA from 1 species
GUGACCUCAAAUCAGGUAGGACUACCCGCUGAACUUAAG